rnacentral:rRNA from 1 species
CUACUGGGGUAUCUAAUCCUGUUUGCUCCCCACGCUUUCGCACCUCAGCGUCAGUAAUGGACCAGUGAGCCGCCUUCGCCGCUGGUGUUCCUGCGAAUAUCUACGAAUUUCACCUCUACACUCGCAAUUCCACUCACCUCUUCCAUCCUCAAGACACCCAGUAUCAAAGGCAGUUCCGGGGUUGAGCCCCGGGAUUUCACCCCUGACUUAAAUGUCCGCCUACGUGCGCUUUACGCCCAGUAAUUCCGAACAACGCUAGCCCCCUUCGUAUUACCGCGGCUGCUGGCAC